CGAACGCUGGCGGCAGGCCUAACACAUGCAAGUCGAACGAGAAGCAGGGCUUCGGCCCUGUGGACAGUGGCGGACGGGUGAGUAACGCGUGGGAAUUUGCCUUGGAGUGGGGGACAACCGCUGGAAACGGCGGCUAAUACCGCAUACGCCCUACGGGGGAAAGAUUUAUCGCUCUAAGAGAAGCCCGCGUCUGAUUAGCUUGUUGGUGAGGUAACGGCUCACCAAGGCGACGAUCAGUAGCUGGUCUGAGAGGAUGAUCAGCCACACUGGGACUGAGACACGGCCCAG
rnacentral:rRNA from 1 species